rnacentral:rRNA from 1 species
AUUGAACGCUGGCGGCAGGCUUAACACAUGCAAGUCGAACGAAGUGGCGAACGGGUGAGUAACGCGUAAUCAACCUGCCCUUCAGAGGGGGACAACAGUUGGAAACGACUGCUAAUACCCCAUACUGCAGGAGGGGAUUGCGUCUGAUUAGCUCGCUGGAGGGGUAACGGCCAACCAAGGCGAUGAUCAGUAGCCGGUCGGGGAGGAUGAACGGCCAAAUUGGGACUGGGGCACGGCCCAGACUCCUACGGGAGGCAGCAGGGGGGAAUCUUCCGCAAUGGACGAAAGUCUGACGGAGCAACGCCGCGUGAGUGAUGACGGCCUUCGGGUUGUAAAGCUCUGUUAAUCGGGACGCGGUACCGGAAUAGAAAGCCACGGCUAACUACGUGCCAGCAGCCGCGGUAAUAC